UAUUGGGCGUGAGAGCUCGUACGCGGUUUGUCGCGUCUGCUGUGAAAUCCCGAGGCUCAACCUCGGGCUUGCUCUGGGUACGGGCAGACUACAGUGCGGUAGGGGAGAUAGGAAUUCCUGGUGUAGCGGUGGAAUGCGCAGAUAUCAGGAGGAACACCGAUGGCGAAGGCAGAUCUCUGGGCCGUAACUGACGCUGAGGAGCGAAAGCAUGGGGAGCGAACAGGAUUAGAUACCCUGGUAGUCCAUGCCGUAAACGUUGGGCGCUAGAUGUAGGGACCUUUCCACGGUUUCUGUGUCGUAGCUAACGCAUUAAGCGCCCCGCCUGGGGAGUACGGCCGCAAGGCUAAAACUCAAAGGAAUUGACGGGGGCCCGCACAAGCGGCGGAGCAUGCGGAUUAAUUCGAUGCAACGCGAAGAACCUUACCAAGGCUUGACAUACACCGGAAACGGCCAGAGAUGGUCGCCCCCUUGUGGUCGGUGUACAGGUGGUGCAUGGUUGUCGUCAGCUCGUGUCGUGAGAUGUUGGGUUAAGUCCCGCAACGAGCGCAACCCUCGUUCUAUGUUGCCAGCGGGUUAUGCCGGGGACUCAUAGGAGACUGCCGGGGUCAACUCGGAGGAAGGUGGGGAUGACGUCAAAUCAUCAUGCCCCUUAUGUCUUGGGCUUCACGCAUGCUACAAUGGCCGGUACAAAGGGCUGCGAUACCGUAAGGUGGAGCGAAUCCCAAAAAGCCGGUCUCAGUUCGGAUUGAGGUCUGCAACUCGACCUCAUGAAGUCGGAGUCGCUAGUAAUCGCAGAUCAGCAACGCUGCGGUGAAUACGUUCCCGGGCCUUGUACACACCGCCCGUCAAGUCAUGAAAGUCGGUAACACCCGAAGCCGGUGGCCUAACCCUUGUGGAAGGAGCCGUCGAAGUGGGAUC
rnacentral:rRNA from 2 species